AGCGAAAGGAACUCCUGAAAAAUCUGAAAGGUUUAUCUAAUUGUAUUUUGAUGUUUAUUUUAUUUGAAAUUUCAUACAAGGUAAUGAUGAAUUUUUGAGGUCAAGAUGGGCAAAAUGGUUUAGAGUUACUUAGGUGCUGCAUGUCUAUGGUGGUUGGUUUUUUUUCCCCCUAUCUAGGUUUUGUCAUGAAUCUUUUAUUCAAUAGAAAUUGAUGCAAGUCUUUAUAUACUUGCAGGGAAGCAUUGU
rnacentral:misc_RNA from 1 species